rnacentral:misc_RNA from 1 species
CCUCUUUCAAGCAGCAAUACUCUUCCUUUUUCGUGGAUUUUGUUCCUCCCAACAACAAGUUUCGUACUACGACUACAUCAUCGUCGGCGGCGGCACCGCCGGCUGCCCAUUAGCCGCCACCCUCUCCAACAACUCCACCGUCUUGCUGCUUGAAAGAGGACCCUCCCCUUACGGCAACAAGAACAUAACCCACUUCCCCAACUUCCUCGACAACCUCGCGGACACGUCCCCCUCCUCUCCAUCCCAGCCCUUCAUCUCCACCGACGGCGUUAUCAACUCGCGCGCCCGCGUCCUUGGCGGCGGCACGUGCAUCGGCGCUGGGUUCUACAGUCGGGCUAGCCCGGAACAGGUGAGGAUGAUGGGGCUGGAGGGGAAGCUAGUGAAUGAGUCAUAUAAGUGGGUGGAGGAGGUGGUGGCGUUCGAGCCGAGGAUGCUGCAGUGGCAAUCGGCGGUGAGAGAGGGACUGUUGGAGGCCGGGGUGGAGCCGGACAAUGGGUUUACAUACGAUCAUGUGUACGGGACUAAGACGGGAGGGACGGUCUUUGAUAGAGAUGGGCGGCGGCACACGGCGGCGGACUUGCUCCGGUACGCUGAUCCUGGGAGGCUUAUUGUGCUGCUGCAUGCCACGGUUUGCCGCAUCUUGUUUCGAUACCAAGGUAACCUGAGUCGAGUGGCCUGUGGUGUUGCAUUCCACGACACAGACGG